rnacentral:misc_RNA from 1 species
UCCCCGUCGCCGAGGCAGUCUAAUUAGAAAAAUACAACUAAUCAUAAGGGUUGCGCUCGUUAAUGGACUUAACCAAACAUCUCACGACACGAGCUGACGACGGCCAUGCAACACCUGUCACCGAGUUCCAAAAGGCACAUUCUAGUUUCCCAGAAUUUCUCGGGAUUUCAAGCCCUGGUAAGGUUCUUCGCUUAUCCUCGAAUUAAAGAACACGCUCCACCGCUUGUGCGGGUCCCCGUCAAUUCCUUUGAGUUUUAAUCUUGCGACCGUACUCCCCAGGCGGGAUGCUUAACGCGUUAGCUUCGCUACUAGAAGGGUCGAUACUCCUAACAGCUAGCAUCCAUCGUUUACGGCGUGGACUAC